UCAACACCGAUUGUAAACAAAGAUGUACAAAUUUUUGGGGUUAAACCCCCCACCAGCUAAAAAAACUAAAACCUUAGAGGGACGGCGAGAUGUGCAAAAAGCAUACGACGCGGAAAAAAGGAAGCGUACUUUUCAAUCUUCUUGGAAGUCGCAGUAUCCUUGGCUUAUCUACAAUGUUGACAAUGAGACGGGUAACGGUUGCAUGACUUGCAAUAUUUGUAUUGCAUAUGAGAAAACUGGCACCUUUGUGACAGGUUGUACCAACUUUAGAUUGGAAACAAUUAGAAUUCAUCAAAAUUCAGAGGGCCAUAUCAUGAACACAAAGAAGUGUAAGGCGAAAUCUAUGGAAAAAUUAGACAACAACACACAAACACAAUCAGAAGCAAAGAGAGCAGUGCUCAUGAUGAACAGGGCAGCGUUCACCAAAAUGACAUUCUUAUUUCGGAAUGCACAUUACAUUGCAAGAAAUAAUCGUCCUUACAGUGACUUUGUUCAAUUAUGUUUGCUGGACAAAGCAAAAAGCAUAGAUAUAGGUGAUACCUAUAUUACUGACAAAUCAUGUCAACAAUUUGUUAGUAGUGUUGCCAUGGCUAGACAACAAGAGCAGGAAUGAUAUUGUGAAAGAAGGCAGUUUUUUAUCCAUCAUAUCUGAUGGAUCCACUGAUGUUUCGUCAAAGGAAGCGGAAAUUUUAUAUGUUAGAACCUCUGUAAGGUGUCAGGUGUCAACACUAUUUAUUGGUGUUAAGAAUGUUCCUAAAGCUGACGGUGAACAUAUAAGUACAGCAAUAAGUAACCUAAUGACAGAGAGGUUUCAAGAGACUUGGAAGGAAAAACUUGUAGCCAUGGGUACAGACGGGGCAUCUGUCAUGUUAGGGAAAACAAGUGGAGUUGUGAAAAGAAUAAAAGAUAUGACUAGUAGACCAGUUUAUGCCAUUCACUGCUCUGCACACAGUAUUGAACUCGCAUAUAAAGAUGCCAUAAAGGGAACAAAGAUCUGGCAGAGAUGUGAUGCCCUGAUGCUUAACAUCUUCUUGUUUUACAAGUAUAGUCCACUGAAUAGGGCUAAUUUGAAGGCUAGCUUUGAAAGUCUUAAUAUGAAGAUGUUGUUACCGACAAGGGUGGGAGGAACACGCUGGGUUCCCUAUCAUGAACGAGCUUUGAAGAAUGUAUUGCAUGGCCAUGCUGCAAUUGUUCGUCAUCUUGAACAGAUGCAAGCACCUGGAGAGGCACGCAAGGAUUCUAGCGCCAAAGCAAGAAAUUUUCAUUAAGCCUUAAAAGAUAAACAUACUCUUUUUUGGCUUCAUUUUAUGUUUGAUGUUGUUCAAAGCUUGAGCACUGUGUCAAGGACAGUACAAAGUAAAGACAGCAAUCUUGGGGAUGUUUAUAAUGAGUUAGAAGCAUGCAAAUCCAUUAUGGGAAAGUACAUAAACAGAGUUUGGUGACUCACAUAUAGUGGAAGUUAGCAGGCCUUGCUUUGGAGCUUUGUUCAGUCACAGUAGACCCUGAUGCAAUUGAGUCUGAAUGGACCCGAUUUAAAACCGAAUUGUAUAAUACCAUGAAU